CCUGAACCCUAUGUUUUUAUGUUUUUGUGUGUAAGUGACUGAUGGGAACAACAGUCCUUGACAUCGGUCCAGUAUUCAGCGAGAUUGCUGCAGUCGGCAGCGGAGAAACAAGCUAAAAUGAAAAUUAGUAGGCCGUUGUCCAGCUUGUAUUUACCUUCACUAAAGUGCUCAUUUCGCCACUAAC